rnacentral:rRNA from 1 species
UACGUAGGGGGCAAGCGUUGUCCGGAAUCAUUGGGCGUAAAGAGCGUGUAGGCGGCCAGAAAAGUCCGCUGUGAAAACUCGAGGCUCAACUUCGAGCUGUCGGUGGAAACUUUCUGGCUAGAGUCCGGAAGAGGAGAAUGGAAUUCCUGGUGUAGCGGUGAAAUGACGGCAGAUAUCAGGAAGAACACCCGUGGCGAAGGCGGUUCUCUGGGGACGGUACUGGACGCUGAGGACGCGAAAGCGUGGGAGCGAACAGG